UACGAAGGGGGCUAGCGUUGCUCGGAAUCACUGGGCGUAAAGGGUGCGUAGGUGGAUCUUUAAGUCAGGGGUGAAAUCCUGGAGCUCAACUCCAGAACUGCCUUUGAUACUGAGGAUCUUGAGUUCGGGAGAGGUGAGUGGAACUGCGAGUGUAGAGGUGAAAUUCGUAGAUAUUCGCAAGAACACCAGUGGCGAAGGCGGCUCACUGGCCCGAUACUGACACUGAGGCACGAAAGCGUGGGGAGCAAACAGG
rnacentral:rRNA from 1 species